rnacentral:rRNA from 1 species
AACAAACGCUGGCGGCGUGCCUAAUACAUGCAAGUCGAACGGGUAGCAAUACCAGUGGCGCACGGGUAAGGAAUACAUAGAUAAUCUGUCUUCGAGUCGGGGAUAACCAGUCGAAAGAUUGGCUAAUACCGGAUAAGACCACAAGAUCUGCGGAUCAAGGGGUUAAAGGUUUUUCGCUUGAAGAUGAGUCUAUGCGAGAUUAGCUAGUUGGUGAGGUAAUGGCUCACCAAGGCGACGAUCUCUAACUGGUCUUAGAGGAUGAUCAGUCACACUGGAACUGAGACACGGUCCAGACUCCUACGGGAGGCAGCAGUAGGGAAUAUUGCGCAAUGGGGGAAACCCUGACGCAGCGACGCCGCGUGAGUGAUGAAGGCCUUCGGGUCGUAAAGCUCUGUCGUAUGGGAAUAACACAAUGAAUGUACCAUGCAAGAAAGGAUCGGCUAACUUCGUGCCAGCAGCCGCAGUAAAAC